UACGUAGGGUGCAAGCGUUAAUCGGAAUUACUGGGCGUAAAGCGUGCGCAGGCGGUUAUGCAAGACAGAUGUGAAAUCCCCGGGCUUAACCUGGGAACCGCAUUUGUGACUGCACAGCUGGAGUACGGCAGAGGGGGAUGGAAUUCCGCGUGUAGCAGUGAAAUGCGUAGAUAUGCGGAGGAACACCGAUGGCGAAGGCAGUCCCCUGGGCCUGUACUGACGCUCAUGCACGAAAGCGUGGGGAGCAAACAGG
rnacentral:rRNA from 1 species